AGUGGAUGGGGAGCAACCUAGUUGUGCGUGUGUAAAGGUAGUGCCAAGAAAAGCGAUGAUCAUGUUGAAAAUCAAUUCCCGGUACCCGAAACCGACACAGGUGGGCAAGUAGAGAAUACUAAGGGGCGCGAGGUAACUCUCUCCAAGGAACUCGGCAAAAUGACCCCGUAACUUAGGGAGAAGGGGUGCCACCGAGAGGUGGUCGCAGUGAAGAGGCCCAGGCGACUGUUUAGCAAAAACAUAGGUCUCUGCAAACUCGAAAGAGGAGGUAUAGGGGCUGACGCCUGCCCAGUGCCGGAAGGUUAAAGAAGUUGGUCAGUUUUAGGAUGAAGCUAGCGACUGAAGCCCCGGUGAACGGCGGCCGUAACUAUAACGGUCCUAAGGUAGCGAAAUUCCUUGUCGGGUAAGUUCCGACCCGCACGAAAGGCGUAACGAUCUGGGCGCUGUCUCGGAGAGAGGCUCGGCGAAAUAGGAUUGUCUGUGAAGAUACGGACUACCUGCAUUUGGACAGAAAGACCCUAUGAAGCUUUACUACAGCUUGGAAUUGUGUUCGGGCUUCCUGUGCGCAGGAUAGGUGGGAGGCGUAGAAGGUAUUCUUGUGGGGAUACUGGAGCCAACGGUGAGAUACCACUCUCAGGAGGCUAGAAUUCUAACUUAAUUAAGGACAGUUUCAGGUGGGUAGUUUGACUGGGGCGGUCGCCUCCAAAAAGGUAACGGAGGCGUACAAAGGUUCCCUCAGACUGGUUGGAAAUCAGUCGAAGAGUGCAAAGGCAGGAGGGAGCUUGACUGCGAGAAGUACAGUUCGAGCAGGGUGGAAACACGGUCUUAGUGAUCCGACGGUGCUGUGUGGAAGGGCCGUCGCUCAACGGAUAAAAGUUACUCUAGGAUAACAGGCUGAUCUCCCCCAAGAGUUCACAUCGACGGGGAGGUUUGGCACCUCGAUGUCGGCUCAUCGCAACCUGGGGCGGAAGUACGUCCCAAGGGUUGGGCUGUUCGCCCAUUAAAGCGGUACGUGAGCUGGGUUCAGAACGUCGUGAGACAGUUCGGUCCAUAUCCGAUGUAGGUGUGAGAAUAUUGAGAGGAGCCUUCCUUAGUACGAGAGGACCGGGAAGGACGCACCGCUGGUGUACCUGUUAUGAUGCCAAUUGUAAACGCAGGGUAGCCAAGUGCGGAGAGGAUAACCGCUGAAAGCAUCUAAGUGGGAAGCCCACCUCAAGAUGAGUAUUCUGGUGUAAGGUCACGGGAAGACGACCCGUAAAUAGGCACGAGGUGGAAGUGCAGAGAUGUAUGAAGCCGAAGUGUACUAAUAGACCGUCGGCUUGACCU
rnacentral:rRNA from 1 species